ACCCGGAAUAAAGGCCUCUCUCAAACCUAUUCGCUUUGUUCGUCACGAACAUCCUUAAGUAGAUGGAAUUCUGGAAGAAGUGUGAACAAACAUUAUUGGGAUUAACUUAAUAAGCUCAUGGUGUUUUCAUAAUGUAGAUGACGAGUUUAAAGAGGAUGAAAUCCCUAAACUCACCGAGGUCGAAGAUGAGCUAUCUGGGAUCUAUCCGCAAUCCUUGGUUUCUGUGAAGUCAUGUCCAUGGGAUAUAAUUCAAUUUCUUCGACGGCUGGACACGAAAAAUGCCCAAACAUCUUCUAAUCCUUGUCUUCUUGCACAUUAUCUGCCACGUAACGAAUGCAUUAAUGCAGAUGUGCAGAUAUAAUUAUCACUACUGGCCGUAGAGAGUCACUGGUCAAAUAAUUAAGAUAUUGCCCUGUUUGUAUGGUGGAUAUCGAAGAUAAAUAUCAUCUGUUAUUUAUAUGUGAUGUUUUUGUCGAUUUAAGAAAGGAGUAUAUAUAUUCCACUGAAGUAUUUGGGUCACCCUACAAGGGAAACACUUAUAAGAACUUUAUCAGAAGACGAAACAGUUCAUGUAAAGUUAGCCCUGUUUUUAACGCAAUCGCUGUCAUUAUUGAACAGUCUGAUUUCUCCUGUCAACUAAUUUCACAAUGUUAUGAUGCUUUCCACUGUAAGCACUGUCCAUACUUCGCCUGUCAUUAUAACACUAUGUAUACGGGCCGGGGGCCUUAUGUACAAUAAACUAUCUUGAUUUUUGAUACAGUCACGAAGCAUAUCCAAACUGUAAAUCGAUCAUCUGAUUGGGACAUAACCAUUGUAAACAUUGCAAGUUGAAAACAGGACUAUCGUUCACAAGUCUCUACUAUUGAAUACAGAAAUAUACUGACGUAUAAAAGAUAGUACACAACUAGUGUCUGGAGAUUUUUUUGCCAGAACAUGACGUAAAUACUUGUAAAGUGUUUUGAUUGUGUCUUUCACGUGAAAAAAAACCCAUUGAGUAUGUGUUGGCAAAGCA